GACGAACGCUGGCGGCGUGCUUAACACAUGCAAGUCGAACGGAAAGGCCCUGCUUUUGUGGGGUGCUCGAGUGGCGAACGGGUGAGUAACACGUGAGUAACCUGCCCUUGACUUUGGGAUAACUUCAGGAAACUGGGGCUAAUACCGGAUAGGAGCUCCUGCUGCAUGGUGUGGGUUGGAAAGUUUCGGCGGUUGGGGAUGGACUCGCGGCUUAUCAGCUUGUUGGUGGGGUAGUGGCUUACCAAGGCUUUGACGGGUAGCCGGCCUGAGAGGGUGACCGGCCACAUUGGGACUGAGAUACGGCCCAGACUCCUACGGGAGGCAGCAGUGGGGAAUAUUGCACAACGGGCGGAAGCCAGAUGCAGCAACGCCGCGUGCGGGAUGACGGGCUUCGGGUUGUAAACCGCUGUCGCCUGUGACGAAGCGUGAGUGACGGUAAUGGGUAAAGAAGCACCGGCUAACUACGUG
rnacentral:rRNA from 1 species